UGAGGAAUAUUGGUCAAUGGGGCGAGAGCCUGAACCAGCCAAGUCGCGUGAGGGAAGACGGUCCUAUGGAUUGUAAACCUCUUUUGCCGGGGAGCAAAGAGCGGCACGUGUGCCGCGCCGAGAGUACCCGGAGAAAAAGCAUCGGCUAACUCCGUGCC
rnacentral:rRNA from 1 species